ACGGGUGAGUAAUGCCUAGGAAUCUGCCUGGUAGUGGGGGAUAACGUUCGGAAACGGACGCUAAUACCGCAUACGUCCUACGGGAGAAAGCAGGGGACCUUCGGGCCUUGCGCUAUCAGAUGAGCCUAGGUCGGAUUAGCUAGUUGGUGGGGUAAUGGCUCACCAAGGCGACGAUCCGUAACUGGUCUGAGAGGAUGAUCAGUCACACUGGAACUGAGACACGGUCCAGACUCCUACGGGAGGCAGCAGUGGGGAAUAUUGGACAAUGNGCGAAAGCCUGAUCCAGCCAUGCCGCGUGUGUGAANAAGGUCUUCGGAUUGUAAAGCACUUUAAGUUGGGAGGAAGGGCAGUUGCCUAAUACGUAACUGUUUUGACGUUACCGACAGAAUAAGCACCGGCUAACUCUGUGCCAGCAGCCGCGGUAAUACAGAGGGUGCAAGCGUUAAUCGGAAUUACUGGGCGUAAAGCGCGCGUAGGUGGUUUGUUAAGUUGGAUGUGAAAUCCCCGGGCUCAACCUGGGAACUGCAUUCAAAACUGACUGACUAGAGUAUGGUAGAGGGUGGUGGAAUUUCCUGUGUAGCGGUGAAAUGCGUAGAUAUAGGAAGGAACACCAGUGGCGAAGGCGACCACCUGGACUAAUACUGACACUGAGGUGCGAAAGCGUGGGGAGCAAACAGGAUUANAUA
rnacentral:rRNA from 1 species